UACGUAGGGUGCAAGCGUUGUCCGGAAUUACUGGGCGUAAAGCGUGCGUAGGCGGUUCGUCAAGUCUGAUGUGAAAGCCCCGGGCUCAACCUGGGAACUGCAUUGGGAACUAGCGAGCUUGAGUGUGGCAGAGGGGGGUGGAAUUCCACGUGUAGCAGUGAAAUGCGUAGAGAUGUGGAGGAACACCGAUGGCGAAGGCAGCCCCCUGGGCUAACACUGACGCUCAGGCACGAAAGCGUGGGGAGCAAACAGG
rnacentral:rRNA from 1 species